AUUGAACGCUGGCGGCAUGCUUUACACAUGCAAGUCGAACGGCAGCGCGGGCUUCGGCCUGGCGGCGAGUGGCGAACGGGUGAGUAAUACAUCGGAACGUGCCCAGUAGUGGGGGAUGGCUCGGCGAAAGCCGGAUUAAUACCGCAUACGACCUGAGGGUGAAAGCGGGGGAUCUUCGGACCUCGCGCUAUUGGAGCGGCCGAUGGCAGAUUAGCUAGUUGGUGGGGUAAAGGCCUACCAAGGCGACGAUCUGUAGCUGGUCUGAGAGGACGACCAGCCACACUGGGACUGAGACACGGCCCAGACUCCUACGGGAGGCAGCAGUGGGGAAUUUUGGACAAUGGGCGAAAGCCUGACCCAGCAAUGCCGCGUGUGUGAUGAAGGCCUUCGGGUUGUAAAGCACUUUUGGCGGGAACGAAAAGGACUGUGCCAAUACCACGGUUCGAUGACGGUACCCGCAGAAUAAGCACCGGCUAACUACGU
rnacentral:rRNA from 1 species